rnacentral:rRNA from 1 species
CUAAUACCGGAUAGUUCCUUGAACCGCAUGGUUCAAGGAUGAAAGACGGUUUCGGCUGUCACUUACAGAUGGACCCGCGGCGCAUUAGCUAGUUGGUGAGGUAACGGCUCACCAAGGCGACGAUGCGUAGCCGACCUGAGAGGGUGAUCGGCCACACUGGGACUGAGACACGGCCCAGACUCCUACGGGAGGCAGCAGUAGGGAAUCUUCCGCAAUGGACGAAAGUCUGACGGAGCAACGCCGCGUGAGUGAUGAAGGUUUUCGGAUCGUAAAGCUCUGUUGUUAGGGAAGAACAAGUGCAAGAGUAACUGCUUGCACCUUGACGGUACCUAACCAGAAAGCCACGGCUAACUACGUGCCAGCAGCCGCGGUAAUACGUAGGUGGCAAAGCGUUGUCCGGAAUUAUUGGGCGUAAAGGGCUCGCAGGCGGUUUCUUAAGUCUGAUGUGAAAGCCCCCGGCUCAACCGGGGAGGGGUCAUUGGAAACUGGGAAACUUGAGUGCAGAAGAGGAGAGUGGAAUUCCACGUGUAGCGGUGAAAUGCGUAGAGAUGUGGAGGA